ensembl:snRNA RNU7-70P RNA, U7 small nuclear 70 pseudogene
GAGUUGUUACAGCUCUUUUAGAAUUUGUGUAGCAGGUUUUCUGGUUUUCACCAGAAACCAACCUAC